rnacentral:rRNA from 1 species
AUUAGCUAGUUGGUGAGGUAAGGGCUCACCAAGGCGACGAUCCCUAGCUGGUCUGAGAGGAUGAUCAGCCACACUGGAACUGAGACACGGUCCAGACUCCUACGGGAGGCAGCAGUGGGGAAUAUUGCACAAUGGGCGCAAGCCUGAUGCAGCCAUGCCGCGUGUGUGAAGAAGGCCUUCGGGUUGUAAAGCACUUUCAGUCGUGAGGAAGGCAGGUAUGUUAAUAGCUUAUUGUUUUGACGUUAGCGACAGAAGAAGCACCGGCUAACUCCGUGCCAGCAGCCGCGGUAAUACGGAGGGUGCGAGCGUUAAUCGGAAUUACUGGGCGUAAAGCGCAUGCAGGUGGUUUGUUAAGUCAGAUGUGAAAGCCCGGGGCUCAACCUCGGAAUAGCAUUUGAAACUGGCAGACUAGAGUACUGUAGAGGGGGGUAGAAUUUCAGGUGUAGCGGUGAAAUGCGUAGAGAUCUGAAGGAAUACCGGUGGCGAAGGCGGCCCCCUGGACAGAUACUGACACUCAGAUGCGAAAGCGUGGGGAGCAAACAGGAUUAGAUACCC